rnacentral:rRNA from 1 species
CCUACAUGAAGUCGGAAUUGCUAGUAAUCGCGGAUCAGCAUGCCGCGGUGAAUACGUUCCCGGGCCUUGUACACACCGCCCGUCACACCAUGGGAGUUGGUAACACCCGAAGUCAGUAGCCUAACCGCAAGGAGGGCGCUGCCGAAGGUGGGAUCGAUGACUGGGGUGAAGUCGUAACAAGGUAGC